rnacentral:rRNA from 1 species
GCGUUGAAAAGCUCGGGGAUGACUUGUGGGUAGCGGUGAAAUUCCAAUCGAGCCCGGAGAUAGCUGGUUCUCCCCGAAAUAGCUUUAGGGCUAGCCUCAAGGUGAGAGAUACGGAGGUAGAGCACUGAAUGUCCUAGGGGGUAUUGCACCUACCGAAGACUAUCAAACUCCGAAUGCCGUCAUCUUAUACUUGGGAGUCAGACUGUGGGUGAUAAGAUUCAUAGUCGAAAGGGCAACAGCCCAGAUCGUCAGCUAAGGUCCCUAAAUGUAAGUUAAGUGGUAAAGGAUGUGGGAUUGCACAGACAACCAGGAUGUUGGCUUAGAAGCAGCCACUCAUUCAAAGAGUGCGUAAUAGCUCACUGGUCGAGUGAUCCUGCGCCGAAGAUUUCCGGGGCUAAAACUUACUACCGAAGCUACGGCAUCAGUAAUGAUGGGUAGGGGAGCUUCCCAUACGGGUUGAAGCAUGACCGUAAGGACAUGUGGACAGUAUGGGAGUGAGAAUGUUGGCAUGAGUAGCGAGAUGUGGGUGAGAAUCCCACAGGCCGUAAAGCCAAGGUUUCCAGGGGAAGGAUCGUCCGCCCUGGGUUAGUCGGGACCUAAGCUGAGGCCUAAAGGCGUAGGUGAUGGACAACAGGUUGAUAUUCCUGUACUACCGAUAACCGUUUGAGAGAAGGGAUGACACAGUAGGAUAAGCUAAGCACACUGUUGGUUAUGUGUGCCCAAGCAUUGAGGCAGUCAAAGUAGGCAAAUCCGCUUUGAUAAUGCUGGGAUGUGAUGGGGAGAGAAAUUUAGUAGCGAAGUAGCUGAUUUCACACUGUCAAGAAAAGUCUCUAUCGAGGUUAAAGGUACCCGUACCGCAAACCGACACAGGUGGGUGAGGAGAGUAUCCUAAGGCCAGCGAGAGAACUGUUGUUAAGGAACUCGGCAAAAUGACCCCGUAACUUAGGGAUAAGGGGUGCCACCAUCAGGUGGCCGCAGAGAAUAGGCCCAAGCGACUGUUUACCAAAAACAUAGGUUUCUGCUAAGUCGCAAGACGAUGUAUAGGAGCUGACGCCUGCCCGGUGCUGGAAGGUUAAGGGGAUCUGUUAGAGCAAUCGAAGCAGUGAACUUAAGCCCCAGUAAACGGCGGCCGUAACUAUAACGGUCCUAAGGUAGCGAAAUUCCUUGUCGGGUAAGUUCCGACCCGCACGAAAGGCGUAACGAUUUGGGCACUGUCUCAACAACAGACUCGGUGAAAUUGUAAUUCCGGUGAAGAUGCCGGAUACCUG